AGUCAUCAUACGCUCACUUUUAUUUACAGUCUUUUACUUGGACACUUCCUAGAAGGUCCCUCCAGGUCAGCAACUAAGUGUGGGCCAUCAUCUCACAAAUACCACUGGAGUUCAUUCACGUGCCAACAUUCUGCAAAAGAGCAUGACUACAAAAGCAAGAAAAUUUCAAAAGAAUAUGAAGACCAGUGCUAGUGCUUGUAGGAAAAUUCUCCCGACAUUGAAGAAAUCUUCGAC